UACACCUUUGUAAUGUUUUUCACUGGAACACUGAUAAGGAAUUUAGAGAUAAUCUUCUUUCACUCAGCAAGAAAUACAAUAUACUUUUGCCUGAAUACUCUGGGUUACAUCCACAGUCUGAUUAUGUUGAUAAGAUGUAAGGCUCACUAUGCUCUUCCAGGACAUUUAUGACGUUUUAUAUUGAUGACAUUCUGGUUAAAGGGAAGAAAUAUGAGAAGGCGUGGUAGCCAGCCUCCAAAAUUACCCUUAAGGAACUCCUUAUGUUGAGGCUCCUGUCUGGUCCCCUUCCAUAUUGAAUCAGUUCUCACCUAUGUGACCAAUACAAUGCAGUAGAAGAACAGUGGUGUGACUUCCAAGAACAAGUCAUAAAGGUGUUGAUCUCUGGGUUUGUUUGCUUUGAGGGAAGCAGCUGCUGUGUUAUGAAGACACUCAAGGAACACUGAGAGGUGCAUAUGAUAUGGAACAAACUUGCCGACAUUCAUAUUCCCACCAUGUGUUGAAGUUGUGCACAGAAAUACCUCCUGUGUGCUAUGGUGACCCAGAUCCACUUUAAUGACAUUGGAACCCUAAUUCUUCCCAUCUUCAUCAACAAAUAAACCACACACAGCAUCAAUAACCCAGGAAUAACAGAGGAUACAGGAACAAGCUCUCAAUAUCCCCACUUCCCUGGUAUUCAUAUCUUGUUUCAUAUCCCUUUGAAUGUGGCCUGGGCUUAGUGACUCACUUCUGAUGAAUAGAAAUCAACAGUGGUGAUGGGCUGUCACUUCUGAGGCUGGGCUACAGAAACAGCCUAGCUUCGUUAUUUCUUGCCCUUGAUUGUUCACUCUUUCACUCUCUCUGAUGGAAAUACCUGCUAUGUGGUGAGUUGCCCUGGAAAGAAACCUACACAAGGAAUUGAGGGCAAUCCCCUGCCAAUAGUCACCCAGGACCUGAGCUCAACAUGGGAGUGAACUUGGAAGAAGAUCUUCCCUCAGACCAGCCUUGACUUAACUGAAGUCCCUGCUGAUAAUUUUAUUGAUUACUCUGAUAAUGCUGAAUCACAAGCAAAACAAC